UACGUAGGGUGCAAGCGUUGUCCGGAAUUAUUGGGCGUAAAGAGCUCGUAGGCGGUCUGUCGCGUCGGCUGUGAAAACUCGGGGCUCAACUCCGAGCUUGCAGUCGAUACGGGCAGGCUAGAGUUCGGCAGGGGAGACUGGAAUUCCUGGUGUAGCGGUGAAAUGCGCAGAUAUCAGGAGGAACACCGGUGGCGAAGGCGGGUCUCUGGGCCGAUACUGACGCUGAGGCGCGAAAGCUAGGGGAGCAAACAGG
rnacentral:rRNA from 1 species